rnacentral:misc_RNA from 1 species
GAUGAAGAACGUAGCGAAAUGCGAUACGUAAUGUGAAUUGCAGAAUUCAGUGAAUCAUCGAAUCUUUGAACGCAUAUUGCGCUCUCUGGUAUUCCGGAGAGCAUGCUUGUUUGAGUAUCAGUAAACACCUCAACUUCCAUAUCUUUUUUGAAAUGGGAGUUGGACUUGAGUGAUCCCAACGCUUUUCCUCACCGAAAAGUGGCGGGUUACUUGAAAUGCAGGUGCAGCUGGACUUUUCUCUGAGCUAUAAGCAUAUCUAUUUAGUCUGCCUAAAAAACAGAUUAUUACCUUUGCUGCAGCUAACAUAAAGGAGAUUAGUUCUUGUGCUGACUGAUGCAGGAUUCACAAAGACGGCUUCGGCCGACUUUGUAAACUCGAUCUCAAAUCAAGUAAGACUACCCGCUGAACUUAAGCAUACAAUAAGCGGAGGA